GCCGGCGCAUAAGUUGGACUUAGCGGACCGUAAAUCCGUGCCUACAAGGCCACUAGGUAGCGAGUUCGAAUCUCGCCACCGGCA
rnacentral:tRNA from 1 species